CCGUCUUCCCUCCCCCCCCCUCCACGGGAUCGCGGGCGACGCGAUCGGGAGAUCGCGCUCGCGAGAUCGCGAUUGCUGGCGUUCACCCGCGGGCGUUCGCGACGGCGAGAUCGCGAUCUCCUUCCUCCUUCCUCCCUGGUCUGUGACCCAUGACUUGAAAGACUUGCAAUUGACCUUCCGUCAGAACAGAUGAACCAUGACUUACCAAGCCAAAUUUCAUAUCCCACUAUUUUUUAUCUAUAUGACUGAUUGGAGGGAACUUGUCGUCUCCCAGCUCUCCUCUCACGAGGACAAAAAAAAUCCCAGACCUUCUUCCAAAAUCCAAUUCCAUUGCAGAAAAUUGACACGACCCAUAUUUCGUUCAGUGUUCCCUCACUUUCUCCCUUCAAAAGUUACAAGAAACAAAAACAAAAAAACAGAAGGAAAAAAAAAAACCAAGCUACUGAGACACCAGAAGUAUCAACAGUGUAAUAGAUCGAGAGAGAGAAUCCUG
rnacentral:lncRNA from 1 species